AACGAACGCUGGCGGCAGGCUUAACACAUGCAAGUCGAACGCCCCGCAAGGGGAGUGGCAGACGGGUGAGUAACGCGUGGGAACAUACCCUUUUCUACGGAAUAGCUCUGGGAAACUGGAAUUAAUACCGUAUACGCCCUACGGGGGAAAGAUUUAUCGGGGAAGGAUUGGCCCGCGUUGGAUUAGCUCGUUGGUGGGGUAAAGGCCUACCAAGGCGACGAUCCAUAGCUGGUCUGAGAGGAUGAUCAGCCACAUUGGGACUGAGACACGGCCCAAACUCCUACGGGAGGCAGCAGUGGGGAAUAUUGGACAAUGGGCGCAAGCCUGAUCCAGCCAUGCCGCGUGAGUGAUGAAGGCCUUAGGGUUGUAAAGCUCUUUCACCGAUGAAGAUAAUGACGGUAGUCGGAGAAGAAGCCCCGGCUAACUUCGUG
rnacentral:rRNA from 1 species